UCCGGUUUAACACCGGCAGUCUCCCUAGAGUCCCCCACUUAAGGCUGGUAACUAAGGACAGGGGUUGCGCUCGUUAUCGGACUUAACCGGACAUCUUACGACACGAGCUGACGACAGCCAUGCAGCACCUAUCUCCGCGUCCCCGAAGGGAACAUGACAUCUCUGCCAUUAGCACGGGAUGUUAAGGGUAGGUAAGGUUCUGCGCGUUGCUUCGAAUUAAACCACAUACUCCACCGCUUGUGCGGGCCCCCGUCAAUUCCUUUGAGUUUUAGCCUUGCGACCGUACUCCCCAGGCGGGAUACUUAAUGCGUUAGCUUUAGUACUCAGGAGUUUAACUUCCCGAACACCUAGUAUCCAUCGUUUACGGCGUGGACUAC
rnacentral:misc_RNA from 1 species